rnacentral:rRNA from 1 species
UUCGCAAUGCCCGAAAGGGUGACGAAGCGACGCCGCGUGCGGGAAGAAGGCCUUCGGGUUGUAAACCGCUGUCGGGAGUUAAGAAAUGUAAGGAUGUUAAUAGCAUCUUUGCUUGACUAAGGCUCCGGAGGAAGCCACGGCUAACUCUGUGCCAGCAGCCGCGGUAAUACAGAGGCGGCAAGCGUUGUUCGGAAUUAUUGGGCGUAAAGAGCACGUAGGCGGCUAUGUAAGUCGGUUGUGAAAGCCUUCCGCUCAACGGGAGAACAGCAUCCGAUACUGCAUGGCUUGAGUGCGGGAGGGGAGAGUGGAACCUCUGGUGGAGCGGUGAAAUGCGUAGAUAUCAGAAGGAACGCCGGCGGCGAAAGCGGCUCUCUGGCCCAUAACUGACGCUGAGUGUGCGAAAGCUAGGGGAGCAAACGGGAUUAGAUACCCCGGUAGUCCUAGCCGUAAACGAUGGGCACUAAGUAGAGGGGUUUU